AUUGAACGCUGGCGGCAUGCUUUACACAUGCAAGUCGAACGGUAACAGGCCGCAAGGUGCUGACGAGUGGCGAACGGGUGAGUAAUGCAUCGGAACGUGCCCAGUCGUGGGGGAUAACGCAGCGAAAGCUGCGCUAAUACCGCAUACGAUCUCUGGAUGAAAGCGGGGGACCGAAAGGCCUCGCGCGAUUGGAGCGGCCGAUGUCAGAUUAGGUAGUUGGUGGGGAAAAGGCCCACCAAGCCAACGAUCUGUAGCUGGUCUGAGAGGACGACCAGCCACACUGGGACUGAGGCACGGCCCAGACUCCUACGGGAGGCAGCAGUGGGGAAUUUUGGACAAUGGGCGCAAGCCUGAUCCAGCAAUGCCGCGUGCAGGAAGAAGGCCUUCGGGUUGUAAACUGCUUUUGUACGGAACGAAACGGUCCGGGUUAAUACCCUGGGCUAAUGACGGUACCGUAAGAAUAAGCACCGGCUAACUACGUGCCAGCCGCCGCCGUAACAC
rnacentral:rRNA from 1 species